rnacentral:lncRNA from 1 species
UCGCGUAGGGUCUGUCGCAAUGAGUGGAGCAGAAUCAUGGCCGUUGAUACAGCCUGUCAGAGAAUAAUGGAGCUGCGCGAAGUCCGCCGCAGUGAGUGGAGCAGGAUCGUGGCCGUGAUUGUGUCCUGGGAGUGCCGAUCUGCUGGCUGAAGCUCGACAGCGGUUGGAGUUCGGCCCCCGUAGGGAUCCGGGCGGAGUCCUCCUUGCGAUUGGGG